GAUUAACGCUGGCGGCGUGCCUAACACAUGCAAGUCGAGCGGCAGCGAGUUUUACACUGAAUUCUGGAAGCUUCUAGUUGAAAGAGAAGAUUUAUUCAAGAAUUUUGUGUAAAAUGUCGGCGAGCGGCGGACGGCUGAGUAACGCGUGGGAACGUACCCCAAAGUGAGGGAUAACGCAUCGAAAGGUGUGCUAAUACCGCAUAUGGUCUUCGGAUUAAAGCCUUCGGGCGCUUUGGGAACGGCCUGCGUAAGAUUAGAUAGUUGGUGGGGUAAUGGCCUACCAAGUCGACGAUCUUUAACUGGUUUGAGAGGAUGAUCAGUCAGACUGGAACUGAGACACGGUCCAGACUCCUACGGGAGGCAUCAGUGAGGAAUCUUCCACAAUGGGCGAAAGCCUGAUGGAGCAACGCCGCGUGCAGGAUGAAGGCCUUCGGGUUGUAAACUGCUUUUAUAAGUGAGGAUUAUGACAGUAACUUAUGAAUAAGGAUCGGCUAACUACGUG
rnacentral:rRNA from 1 species